rnacentral:rRNA from 1 species
AACGAACGCUGGCGGCGUGCCUAACACAUGCAAGUCGAACGUGAUUGAGGGGCUUGCUCCUCAUGAAAGUGGCGCACGGGUGAGUAACGCGUAGAUAAUCUACCUGGUGAUCCGGGAUAACAGUUCGAAAGGACUGCUAAUACCUGAUAAGCCCACGGGGUCUUCGGACUCUGCGGGAAAAGGGGGGGACCAUAUGGCCUUCCGUCAUCAGAUGAGUCUGCGUACCAUUAGCUAGUUGGUAGGGUAAAGGCCUACCAAGGCGACGAUGGUUAGCUGGUCUGAGAGGAUGAUCAGCCACACUGGAACUGAGACACGGUCCAGACUCCUACGGGAGGCAGCAGUGGGGAAUUUUGCGCAACGGGGGAAACCCUGACGCAGCAACGCCGCGUGAGUGAUGAAAGCCCUUGGGUCGUAAAGCUCUGACAGAGGGAAAGAAGUGUAGAGUGGCUAAUAUCCACAUUACUUGACGGUACCCUCAAAGGAAGCACCGGCUAACUCCGUGCCAGCAGCCGCGGUAAUACGGGGGGUGCAAGCGUUGUUCGGAUUUAUUGGGCGUAAAGCGCGUGUAGGCGGUUUUAUAAGUCUGAUGUGAAAGCCCUGGGCUCAACCCGGGAAGUGCAUUGGAUACUGUAAGACUUGAAUACGGGAGAGGGCAGUGGAAUUCCUAGUGUAGGAGUGAAAUCCGUAGAUAUUAGGAGGAACACCGGUGGCGAAGGCGGCUGCCUGGACCGAUAUUGACGCUGAGACGCGAAAGCGUGGGUAGCAAACAGGAUUAGAUACCCUGGUAG